rnacentral:tRNA from 1 species
AAAUAAGAAACAAUAUAUGUAAUUAGUUUCGACCUAAUCUUUGAUAAUCUAAAUUUAUCCUUAUUUU